GCAUCGGUGGUGCAACGGUCAGCAUACGCUCCCGGAAAGAGUACGACCUGAAUUCGAAUCCCGGCCGACGCG